rnacentral:rRNA from 1 species
AUUGAACGCUGGCGGCAUGCUUUACACAUGCAAGUCGAACGGUAACAGGUUAAGCUGACGAGUGGCGAACGGGUGAGUAAUGCAUCGGAACGUGCCCGAUCGUGGGGGAUAACGCAGCGAAAGCUGCGCUAAUACCGCAUACGAUCUGAGGAUGAAAGCGGGGGACCGUAAGGCCUCGCGCGAUCGGAGCGGCCGAUGUCAGAUUAGGUAGUUGGUGGGGUAAAGGCCCACCAAGCCGACGAUCUGUAGCUGGUCUGAGAGGACGACCAGCCACACUGGGACUGAGACACGGCCCAGACUCCUACGGGAGGAAGCAGUGGGGAAUUUUGGACAAUGGGCGAAAGCCUGAUCCAGCAAUGCCGCGUGCAGGAAGAAGGCCUUCGGGUUGUAAACUGCUUUUGUACGGAGCGAAAAGGCCCUUUCUAAUACAAGGGGCUCAUGACGGUACCGUAAGAAUAAGCACCGGCUAACUACGUGCCAGCAGCCGCAGUAACAC